AUGGGGGAAGCUGAAAGACACAGAGGUAAGCGGCGGGCAGUGGAAAGUGGGGUUCCGCAGUUGCCAGACCCCCUAGUCCAGCGUGAUGAUGAAGAGGAAGAUGAAGUCAAGGAUGAGGAUGAAGACAAUGACAACAGUGACGAGGAAGAGGAUGAAGAGGAUGACAUCACUGACGAGGAAGUGAAUACUGAAUUUGAAGCUUACUCCCUAUCAGAUAAUGAUUAUGAUGGAAUUAAGAAAUUACUGCAGCAGCUUUUUCUAAAGGAUCCUGUGAACACUGCAGAACUAACAGAUCUCUUAAUUCAACAGAACCACAUUGGGAGUGUGAUUAAGCAAAUGGAUGUUUCAGAAGACAGUGAAUAUGAUGUGGAUGAAGAUGAGGUUUUUGGUUUCAUAAGCCUUUUAAAUUUAACUGAAAGAAAGGGUACCCAGUGUGCUGAACAAAUUCAAGAGUUGGUUCUAAGCUUCUGUGAGAAGAACUGUGAAAAGAGCAUAGUUGAACAGCUGGACAAGUUUUUAAAUGACACCACCAAGCCUGUGGGCCUUCUCCUAAGUGAAAGAUUCAUUAAUAUCCCUCCACAGAUCGCUCUGCUCAUGUACAAGCCGCUUCAGAAAGAACUGGUGGAGGCACACAGAACCAAUAAGCCAUGUGGGAAGUGCUACUUUUACCUUCUGAUUAGUAAGACAUUUGUGGAAGCAGGAAAAAACAAUUCCAAAAAAGAAACCUAGCAACAAAAAGAAGGCUGCGUUAACGUUUGCAAAUGCAGAGGAAGAACUUUUCUAUGAGAAGGCAGUUCUGAAGUUCACCUACUCAGUGUAGGAGGAGAGUGACACUUGUCUGGGAGGCAAAUGGUCUUUUGAUGACGUACCGAUGAUACCCUUGCGAACUGUGAUGUUAAUUCCAGGCGACAAGAUGAAUGAAAUCAUGGAUAAACUGAAAGAAUAUCUAUCUAUUUAACCCAUUUCCAAUGGACAGUGAUGGGCCUGUUUUUGUAACAUUACCAGAAAACUCAGUGGAGAUUUACUGAAAAACUCAUGACUUUAUUCAGAUUAAGGUCCUCUACAAAAAAUAGGGUUCUGUCUCAUGUGUCUGUGACACAUUUACAAAAUAUCAGUUUUUUAAAAUUUUGGUCAAAUUAUGAGUGGUUGA